rnacentral:rRNA from 1 species
CCUACGGGAGGCAGCAGUGGGGAAUAUUGCACAAUGGGGGAAACCCUGAUGCAGCGACGCCGCGUGAGUGAUGAAGUAAUUCGGUAUGUAAAGCUCUAUCAGCAGGGAAGAAAAUGACGGUACCUGACUAAGAAGCCCCGGCUAACUACGUGCCAGCAGCCGCGGUAAUACGUAGGGGGCAAGCGUUAUCCGGAUUUACUGGGUGUAAAGGGAGCGUAGACGGCAGUGCAAGCCAGGUGUGAAAGUCGGGGGCUCAACCCCGGGACUGCUCUGGAAACUGUACGGCUUGAGUGCGGGAGAGGUAAGUGGAAUUCCUAGUGUAGCGGUGAAAUGCGUAGAUAUUAGGAGGAACACCAGUGGCGAAGGCGGGUUCCUGGACAUUAACUGACGCUGAGGCACGAAGGCGAGGGGAGCGAACAGGAUUAGAUACCCGUGUAGUC